rnacentral:rRNA from 1 species
CCAAGACAAUGAUGCAUAGCCGAGUUGAGAGACUGAUCGGCCACAUUGGGACUGAGACACGGCCCAAACUCCUACGGGAGGCUGCAGUAGGGAAUCUUCCACAAUGGGCGAAAGCCUGAUGGAGCAACGCCGCGUGUGUGAUGAAGGCUUUCGGGUCGUAAAGCACUGUUGUAUGGGAAGAAAAGUUAAGGUAGGGAAUGACCUUAGCCUGACGGUACCAUACCAGAAAGGGACGGCUAAAUACGUGCCAGCAGCCGCGGUAAUACGUAUGUCCCGAGCGUUAUCCGGAUUUAUUGGGCGUAAAGCGAGCGCAGACGGUUGGUUAAGUCUGAUGUGAAAGCCCGGAGCUCAACUCCGGAAAGGCAUUGGAAACUGGUUAACUUGAGUGCAGUAGAGGUAAGUGGAACUCCAUGUGUAGCGGUGGAAUGCGUAGAUAUAUGGAAGAACACCAGCGGCGAAGGCGGCUUACUGGACUGUAACUGACGUUGAGGCUCGAAAGUGUGGGUAGCAAACAGGAUUAGAUACCCUGGUAGUCCACACCGUAAACGAUGAACACUAGGUGUUAGGAGGUUUCCGCCUCUUAGUGCCGAAGCUAACGCAUUAAGUGUUCCGCCUGGGGAGUACGACCGCAAGGUUGAAACUCAAAGGAAUUGACGGGGACCCGCACAAGCGGUGGAGCAUGUGGUUUAAUUCGAAGCAACGCGAAGAACCUUACCAGGUCUUGACAUCCUUUGAAGCUUUUAGAAAUAGAAGUGUUCUCUUCGGAGACAAAGUGACAGGUGGUGCAUGGUCGUCGUCAGCUCGUGUCGUGAGAUGUUGGGUUAAGUCCCGCAACGAGCGCAACCCUUAUUGUUAGUUGCCAGCAUUCAGAUGGGCACUCUAGCGAGACUGCCGGUGACAAACCGGAGGAAGGCGGGGACGACGUCAGAUCAUCAUGCCCCUUAUGACCUGGGCUACACACGUGCUACAAUGGCGUAUACAACGAGUUGCCAACCUGCGAAGGUGAGCUAAUCUCUUAAAGUACGUCUCAGUUCGGACUGCAGUCUGCAACUCGACUGCACGAAGUCGGAAUCGCUAGUAAUCGCGGAUCAGCACGCCGCGGUGAAUACGUUCCCGGGUCUUGUACACACCGCCCGUCACACCAUGGAAGUUUGUAAUGCCCAAAGCCGGUGGCCUAACCGUAAGGAGGAACCGUCUAAGGC